UUAUUUUUAUAAUAUAAAGUUAGUUUUCAAGAUAUAUAGGUAGCAUUACUAAAUUUGUCAGUAACAUUACAAUGUUCUUAACUAUGCCCAAUGAAAUAUUUCUUAUAAAAAUUAAAAUCAAAGCUCACGGAUUUAUCAGCCCAACCAUAUUCGUUAAUCCAAUAAAUAAAUACCCAUAUUUAGCACACUGAAAUAUUAGAUUAACAUUUUCACAGAAAUAAUAUUAACAAAUAAAUCUUUAAAAAACUUAAUAUUAAACACACAUAUCUUUGAUUUUUUUUUUAAAAUUUUUUACAGACUAUAAAAACUACAUUUGUUAAAUAAAUCUAUUUGCACUACAACAAAUUUGGUCUAAGGCCACACUAACUUUAGCCAACGCUCGGAAAGCAUUGUCAAAAACAUCUAUGGGAACGCUUAUAAAGGGGUGGCCUAGUUUAGACCACACUUGUUAAGAGUUCUCUUUGAAUAUAUAGACAACGCAUUUUAAGUGUUGUCAACUCAAAGAACAUUUGGCAGCACAUACUCACCUAUAUUACAACGUUUUUAGAGCGUCCCAUUUCUUAAUCAUAAAAGCAACCCUUUAUAAGGGUGCUCUAAACUUUUCCAAUAAAAUUUUUCAUUAGAAGUUUCCCUCCAUUAUUGUUCCUAAUGAAAUAUUUGGGAGGGAAUUUAAGAAAAAAUGAAAUAUUUUCUCCUAUUUUCUAAAAGAAAAAACGAUAGUACAAUAAAUAUUUGCCAAUUUUUUAUCCCACACCUCCGUCGACUUGCUGGUGUUGAAGAAAUUUCCAUUUUUACUGCCGCAUCUUCCACCACUUCUGUUGCUGCUUUAUCGCUGCUUCCACAUUAAUGAUUGGUUAAGUCUUAAAAUGUGGUGCAGUACUCGAAUUGCAUCUUGGAGAGCUGAACUAGGUCUACCUAAACUGAAUGUUGGAAUUAUUUAGUUGUGGAGGAUUGCAUAGUAGUUUCACUUGGAUUUGCUACAUGAGGUCCUAGCAUUUUCAUCUCUACUGUUUUCUUUGUGGAGGACAAGGUUUUCAGAGAAUUAGUAAUCUCAAAAUUGGCUAGAGGUCUGCUCCAUAUAGAUUUUGAUGAACGUACAACAUCAAAGGAAAGUCUUGGUGAGCAGUUGGAAAUGGUGGCCAAACGACAAUUUGACUGAAUGGAAUGUAAUCAUCAAGACUUUGGGCAAUUAUGAUUUUUGUUAUUCCUGAUACUAUAAUAAUACAUUUGCUUUUUAUAAAGUUAAUUAAUUGCUAGCAUGCCCCUUGAUACAAGAUUCUUUAUUCGUUGAUGUAUUACACGAGAUUUAU